UACGAAGGGGGCUAGCGUUGCUCGGAAUCACUGGGCGUAAAGCGCACGUAGGCGGAUCUUUAAGUCAGGGGUGAAAUCCUGGAGCUCAACUCCAGAACUGCCUUUGAUACUGGGGAUCUCGAGUCCGGAAGAGGUGAGUGGAACUCCGAGUGUAGAGGUGAAAUUCGUAGAUAUUCGCAAGAACACCAGUGGCGAAGGCGGACUCACUGGCCCGGUACUGACGCUGAGGUGCGAAAGCGUGGGAGCAAACAGG
rnacentral:rRNA from 1 species